GACGAACGCUGGCGGCGUGCUUAACACAUGCAAGUCGAGCGGAAAGGCCCUUCGGGGUACUCGAGCGGCGAACGGGUGAGUAACACGUGAGUAACCUGCCCUGGACUUUGGGAUAACCCUCGGAAACGGGGGCUAAUACCGGAUAUGACACACAUUCGCAUGGGUUGUGUGUGGAAAGUUUUUCGGUCUGGGAUGGGCUCGCGGCCUAUCAGCUUGUUGGUGGGGUGAUGGCCUACCAAGGCGGACGACGGGUAGCCGGCCUGAGAGGGCGACCGGCCACACUGGGACGUGAGACACGGCCCACGACUCCUGCGGGAGGCAGCAGUGGGGAAUAUUGCACAAUGGGCGGAAGCCUGAUGCAGCGACGCCGCGUGGAGGACGAAGGCCCUC
rnacentral:rRNA from 1 species